ACAGAGGACCUCAUUCCAGUCUGCUCUUGGCCAUGCAAUGGACUAUGCUCUAUGAAUUGGCAGAUUGGCUCCCUAUGGACAGCAAGAACAGAGGCAGAUGCUGCAGCCAUCACUCCAGGUAACACUUCUGUCGUACUUGCUGUGUGUUGGACACUGCCCUAAACAUUUCACAUAUGCUACCCCCUUCAAUUUCUGCAACAGUCCUUUGAGGUAGGUAUUAUUAUUAUCCCGUUUUACAGAUGAAGAAACUGAGGAACAAUGAG
rnacentral:lncRNA from 1 species